AGGAUUUCAAAGUACCAGGACUGUGAUUGUUAUUAAAAUUCCCUUCGGGGCGAAAGAAAAACAAUAACAAUGACAGUAUUGGUUUCUCAGCUAGUAGGAUUGACAACCAUGCACCACUUAAAGCGCUUCUAGACGCGUGCUCAGGGUUUAUGGACGCCUACCAGUCGACCUGCUCGAGCCUAGGCUGGGUAGGAUAACAGGAUGAGGAGGGAAGGUAAAGUACAAAUCCAAAAACCAGCAGAAGUAGUCAAACCAGAAGAGGACAGCUGAGAGAGAGAGAGAGAGAGAGAGAGAAGAAGAAAGAGAGUGAAG